CCAGCAGCCGCGGUAAUUCCAGCUCCAAUAGCGUAUAUUAAAGUUGUUGCAGUUAAAAAGCUCGUAGUUGAACUUUGGGCCUGGGCGGACGGUCUACCUAUGGUAAGCACUGUUGCGGCCGGGUCUUUCCUUCUGGCUAGCCCUCGGGCGAACCAGGACGAUUACUUUGAGGAAAUUAGAGUGUUCAAAGCAGGCCUUUGCUCGGAUAUAUUAGCAUGGAAUAAUAGAAUAGGACGCAUGGUUCUAUUUUGUUGGUUUCUAGGACCAUCGUAAUGAUUAAUAGGGACGGUCGGGGGCAUCAGUAUUCAGUCGUCAGAGGUGAAAUUCUUGGAUUGACUGAAGACUAACUACUGCGAAAGCAUUUGCCAAGGACGUUUUCAUUAAUCAAGAACGAAAGUUAGGGGAUCGAAGAUG
rnacentral:rRNA from 1 species